rnacentral:rRNA from 1 species
UACGAAGGGGGCUAGCGUUGCUCGGAAUUACUGGGCGUAAAGCGCACGUAGGCGGAUUGUUAAGUCAGGGGUGAAAUCCUGGAGCUCAACUCCAGAACUGCCUUUGAUACUGGCGAGCUUGAGUUCGGGAGAGGUGAGUGGAACUGCGAGUGUAGAGGUGAAAAUUCGUAGAUAUUCGCAAGAACACCAGUGGCGAAGGCGACUACCUGGCCUGUUCUUGACGCUGAGGCGCGAAAGCUAGGGGAGCAACGGGG